rnacentral:lncRNA from 1 species
GGGGUGCAGGGGGUGCAAAACAUAUGUCCCGAUACAAAUGCAUUGAUCGGCAAAAAUAAAGGGGGGGUGCGCACCCCCGGAACCCCCCCCUGGAUCCGCCACUGCGAACUGAAACAAUAAUAUUAAUUAUUUGGAAAACAAAAGGUCCUGGAAUGGAGUAUUUUUUAAUCAACAGCAUUGUCCUAUAUAAGUUAUAAAUAAAGUUGAAUUCUUUGCUUCGCUGUUUUACGUCAUGCCCACUAACAAAUUGAAAACUGUACCUGUACGCCUUAUUUUUAGUCCAGAUUUUUAGUAUUCGUAUUGUUAUCUUAGAAAGUCUUACUGAUUAAAAUACUACAAAAGGUAACAAUUUGACAAUUUAGUAGUGUCAACCCUGUGGUUAUGACCCGUGUAUAUAGCAUAUUAAUCCUGAAUACAACGUUUGGUGGUGCGCCUGUCAGAUGCGGAACGUACAGAUAAGGUAAUAGGUAACAGGUGAAUAUACUAUUGGUAUCGGUAGCGGACUCGACCCGGAACUUAAUUAUUGGCAAUAUUAAUUACGUGGAAAACAAAACGGCCUGGAGUGGUGUAAUUUUUAAUCUACACCUUUGUACUAUAUUAGUUAUAUAUA